AUUGAACGCUGGCGGCAGGCCUAACACAUGCAAGUCGAGCGGAGCGGCUGACGGGUGAGUAAUGCCUAGGAAUCUGCCUGGUAGUGGGGGAUAACGUCCGGAAACGGGCGCUAAUACCGCAUAUUAUCAGAUGAGCAUAGGUCGGAUUCGCUAGUUGGUGGGGUACAGGCCUACCGAGGCGACGAUCCGUCACUGGUCUUAGAGGAUGAUCAGUCACACGGGAACUUAGACACGGUACAAACGCCAACAGGGGGAAGCGGUGGGGAAUAUUGGGAAAUUGGGGAAAGCAUGAUACAGUCAUGCCGCGUGUGUGAAGAAGGUCUGCGGGUUGUAAAGCACUUUAAGUUGUGAGGCGUUACCAACAGAAUAAGCACCGGCUAACUUCGUGCCAGCAGCCGCGGUAAUAC
rnacentral:rRNA from 1 species